rnacentral:rRNA from 1 species
UGGGGAAUUUUGGACAAUGGGGGAAACCCUGAUCCAGCCAUCCCGCGUGUGCGAUGAAGGCCUUCGGGUUGUUAAGCACUUUUGGCAGGAAAGAAACGUCAUGGGUUAAUACCCCGUGAAACUGACGGUACCUGCAGAAUAAGCACCGGCUAACUACGUGCCAUCAGCCGCUGUAAUACGUAGGGUGCAAGCGUUAAUCGGAAUUACUGGGCGUAAAGCGUGCGCAGGCGGUACGGAAAGAAAGAUGUGAAAUCCCAGAGCUCAACUUUGGAACUGCAUUGUUAAGUACCGGGCUAGAGUGUGUCAGAGGGAGGUGGAAUUCCGCGUGUAGCAGUGAAAUGCGUAGAUAUGCGGAGGACAGCGAUGGCGAAGGCAGCCUCCUGGGAUAACACUGACGAUCAUGGACGAAAGCGUGGGGAGCAAACAGG